rnacentral:lncRNA from 1 species
GUCGCCAGCAGGCCGUCGUCGUCGGCCCGCGCCGCCUGCCGCUCCACCCGCAGGGCCGCCGUCGUGGCCAAGUACGGCGACAAGAGCGUCUACUUCGACCUCGAGGACAUCGGCAACACCACCGGGCAGUGGGACCUCUACGGCUCCGACGCUCCCUCGCCCUACAACCCGCUCCAGGUGAUGCUUCCAUUUCAUCCAAUUUCCUGCAGUUAUUCUUCCAUACUCUCGUAAAAGAAAUCGUUUAGGACAAUGAUAUGGGCUGUCAAACCUAACUUUAACCUCUUAUUUUUCACGUCACCAGAGCAAGUUCUUCGAGACGUUCGCGGCUCCGUUCACCAAGAGAGGCCUGCUGCUGAAGUUCCUGCUGCUGGGCGGGGGCUCCCUGCUGGCCUACGUCAGCGCGUCGGCGUCGCCGGACCUCCUGCCGAUCAAGAAGGGACCGCAGCAGCCGCCGCAGCCGGGCCCGCGCGGCAAGAUCUAAGCUCAUCGACCAGCUCCGGC